GCCAGACUCCUACGGGAGGCAGCAGUGGGGAAUAUUGCACAAUGGGGGAAACCCUGAUGCAGCGACGCCGCGUGAGUGAAGAAGUAAUUCGUUAUGUAAAGCUCUAUCAGCAGGGAAGAAAAUGACGGUACCCAAAGAGGAAGCUCCGGCUAACUACGUGCCAGCAGCCGCGGUAAUACGUAGGGUGCGAGCGUUAAUCGGAAUUACUGGGCGUAAAGCGCUCGUAGGCGGUAUGUCAAGUCAAGGGUGAAAUCCCCGCGCUCAACGUGGGAACUGCCUUUGAAACUGGCAAACUGGAGUGUGUGAGAGGAUAGUGGAAUUCCAGGUGUAGGAGUGAAAUCCGUAGAUAUCUGGAGGAACAUCAGUGGCGAAGGCGACUAUCUGGCACAUAACUGACGCUGAGGAGCGAAAGCGUGGGUAGCAAACAGGAUUAGAUACCCGCGUA
rnacentral:rRNA from 1 species